rnacentral:lncRNA from 1 species
UUUCAAUCUCAAUCUCCAACGUGGCAUUUGAGAAUCCAAUCUAUAUAUUCUCAUUCUCACUUUUAAAACAAAAGUCACGCCUCCCUCUUCCUCACGCCUCCCUCUUCCUCACCCCAUCGCCGUCGUCCCUGAAUCCGGUCGGCGUCGUCUCCCCCUUCACUGUCUCUCUCUUCUCUCAAUCAUUUUCUCUCUCUAAAGUCGAUUGCACACUCAAAUCGAGCCCUAAUUCCCCCC